rnacentral:rRNA from 1 species
AGUAAUGUCUGGGAAACGUGCCUGAUGGAGGGGGGUAGCUGCUGGAAACGGUAGCUAAUACCGCAUAACGUCGCAAGACCAAAGAGGGGGACCGUUCGGGCCUCUUGCCAUCGGAUGUGCCCAGAUGGGAUUAGCUAGUAGGUGGGGUAACGGCUCACCUAGGCGACGAUCCCUAGCUGGUCUGAGAGGAUGACCAGCCACACUGGAACUGAGACACGGUCCAG